CUCAUCUGCCACUUCUCUUACUGGAUGAUCCUUCCAUUGCGGCGUUAGUUCCUGUGAUUGAUUGGUCCCAGGCUGAAACUGAGGUCACAGCUCAAAAAACUAAAUGAGGAAAUGCAACUUGAGCUGGUCAAAAUUUGAAAUUGAAAAUGGCCCGUCAGCAGGACCAUCACUGGACCAGCAGCAUAAAGCCAUGUCUUCAGGACAAGGGGGAACGUUUAAAAUUAGGGAGGCCCUCGAGAAAACACCGGAGGGUAGAGAGAUAAUGUGCAGUCUUGACACCAAAGGGUGCGUCUCGCUCAAGCAGAGGAGGUCUAUGGUUAGAAUCCUAGUGUCACAUCUCAUCGAGCGGUUCGGAGAGACUCCAGCAUUGGAAACAAAGAAAAACCUGGCCUCAUCUUUAGUGACGGAAUUUCCGUGUCUAAGGGAUCAGCAUGGAAAUGGCAAUAUGCUCAGGACUUUGCCGUUCUACACCCAGCCUGUGCUGGGAAACGUGCAGAAAAGUGGACGCCUGUUUUCAGAGACAGAAUUUUAGGGUUUGCUAGCCAGGAGAAGCAAGCUUCUGGAAUUCUUUCAAGACUGGAUUCUGUGUGUGCAGUUUUCAUGUUUACAACAGAUUGGGACUAAUAUGGUGGAGUACGUGUCCGAGGCCACAAGACCAUAUCCAUUCGUUUUGGCUCUAGACGCCCAGGAACGUUUCACUCUCAGUCUGGACUCAUCAAACUACAGAUGCAGGUAGGAGGAACCAGAGCCUGAUGAAGCUCUCAGUAUCGUAGUAAUCCAGAUGAAGCGUCGCUUCAUUUCCCCGCUGCUCUUUUUCACUCUGAAAUGAUGUCGGCGUGGUGAAAAUGAGCCGGCCGUGCAGAAGAUGCAGUGAGAUUUUACCCACCAGAAGUGACGUUUAGAGACAUUUUAGACGCGUCAUGGAGCCUUUGGCCAUAACCGCUCAUUACCCAGUGUCCACCUGGAGCGCCGGCGCUCCUUCAGGACUCGGAGUCGUCUGCAUUCCCAUCUGUCUCGAUGCCGUGUGGACAGUCCAUCACAAAGACCUGAGGCCGUCCUGUCUUUACACGCCUGGUGCGCGACGCCGGGGUUUCCAACAGAGAGAGAACGUUUUGAACAUGUUGGCCGUCACCUUGAAAGUAAUGAGGCUGUUGAACGCCUGGUUAAAGGAUGCAGUUUCCAAAGAACAUCUGAGGAACAUUUAAAGCACAAAGCCAGAAACACGCCCCUCACACAGUUAGUGACUUUAAAGGAGCUGUUCUUCUGGAAAACGAUGAACCAGCUGCUGAACCUGAAACUCAAGCUGCUCCAGAUGAGAACAUUGAUGAUGACUGUGUGGAGGGAAACAGCUCAGAUGCACAUUCUAAAACAUGUUUCACCCAAAAGCUGUUUACUGUCUAUCAUGUACUCGGUCCUCAGUGCUGUGUGUUUCUACCAGAAAGGACGGCGACGUCUGUCUGUCCAUCUGUUCAACACUCGUCUCCAACGCAGCUUAUCUUGAAAUUAUAGCUGCACCAGUCACAUUUGAAUUCCCAGAUUUGGAGCUCUGCCGAUACCAAUACUGGAGCUUGUUAUUAAUGAUUAUUAUUACUGUUAUUUGUUUGUUGUUGUAGUUGUUGUCAUCGUUGUGUGUAAAGUUAUGUGAGGCUGUAGUAAACCACACAAAACUUAAUAUUAGCAAAUCAUCCAUUUAGAUGUUCUCCAAAGAAACUUGUUUGAACUGUAGGUUCAAAUUAUCCUACAGAGAAGCAGUUUGUCACUCAAAAAAGCUGGUCCAUCUUAAAGGUUGGUCCACCUUAAGUCAGCCUGGGCCAAAGCUGCUGCUAACUUCAGGGUUAAUUCCCUCCACUUAAACCAGCAGGUGGCGAGCAAGAUCCCAAACCUGGCUUGGGUCUUAAGGAGUUGUGACAUUUGUUCCCUGGUAGAAUAAACUGUACCCACACUGCACUGCUGCAUUUACAGCUGUAGCACUACUGCUGACUUCAUCCUCACUGGCACACACGCUCUCUCAGCCGCUGGCUGGCCGUUUCUCUUGGGCUUGCUUGCUCUUUCUUUUCCCGGCUCUCUCGCCGUCACUCGCCCUGUGUUUAAGCCCUGUGUUUGGCCUUCGUGUUCUCUGGUCUCUGCUUGCUUUGUUUGAUCGUGCUGUUUGUUGGUUAGUCUGGUUACUGUGUGUUGUUUGAACCUGUUUGUUGGUGGUCCGUCAUGUCUGCCCCCCGAUCUGUCCCCGUUGGCCUUCUGACUUUGGACCGUUAUGACCCUGAUUUUGGAUUUGCCCUUAAUAAAUCUCACUUA